rnacentral:rRNA from 1 species
UACGUAGGGUGCAAGCGUUAAUCGGAAUUACUGGGCGUAAAGCGUGCGCAGGCGGUUUUGUAAGUCUGACGUGAAAUCCCCGGGCUCAACCUGGGAAUUGCGUUGGAGACUGCAAGGCUAGAAUCUGGCAGAGGGGGGUAGAAUUCCACGUGUAGCAGUGAAAUGCGUAGAGAUGUGGAGGAACACCGAUGGCGAAGGCAGCCCCCUGGGUCAAGAUUGACGCUCAUGCUCGAAAGCGUGGGGAGCAAACAGG